UUUUCUUACAGCUAUGACUUGUGUGUACAAUGGGAAAAUUACUAUAUUACUAUAAGAUAGUUGUCGAACAUCGAACCCCAGUGACAGACGAAAUACCAACCAUUGUAAAUAAACGCAACUAUAAAAUAUAUUUAUUUCUUAAAUUUGUUUUAAAUUUUGAAAAAUGUCUCUGAAAUAUCUGUUUGGUGCAAGUUGGUCCCUGAAGAUUCUGUUCAUGGCUGAAUAUAACUGAAUUAUAUGUAUUGUGCUCUCAAGUCCCUGAAUUUUCAGAUAGUUGCAAUUGAGUCCCCUCCUCUUCUGGAAUCUGAAUUUUGAUCCCCUGGAUUGUUCUACCCAUUCCCUGGAGGUCCGUUUAAAAGUUAACACGGGACGAGUAAUUAGAUUAGCUCCAUUAGAAUAGCACACCAGGCUCCCAAAAUCUUUGCCCAAUCGGACCACAGCAAAAGUCUGGCCCGUCGAUUAUAAUUGUCUCUUCUUUAUUCUUUUUAUUGGUUCUUUCAUGUGAUGAAUUUUGCCAGUUGUGCACUAUUUUCUUUAUGCAAUUGUUGACAUUGCCUUAUGUCAUUGUUCUGGUACACACCAAAACACCAACCAUGAUUGUUAUAAGAUUAGGUCACAUAAAUUGCCAAGUUAUUUCUUUCAAAUAAAAAGUAAAAAUAUUCCACGUUAUUUGCACAAGUUUAAUAAUAAUAAUUGGAAAUUUUAUAAUAGUAAUAUGUGUUCCUUUUUUAAAACUGUGAUAUGAUCUUCUCUCUCUCUUUUAUUUUUUUCCUUUUUUUGCUCGUAGAAAUUCUUUUAUUGCUUUUUGUUCUGUUUAUUUCAAGUAUUUAUGUAAGUUGUUCACUUGCAUUGGCAUUUUUUGAAGGGUCUUCUCACGGUAGCAUGGUGAAAUUUUAUCAAUUUUUCAUACUUUUUUUUCAUAACAUAAUUAUGUAUAAAAUUAUCAAAUUUUCCUGAUUAAAGAAAGGCCGCCUUCAUCCACAACCUUGUCUUCCGCCAUCCCCUGUCCUGACCCCAAUAGCAAACUAACAGCCACCACCACCUUCAGCAACC
rnacentral:lncRNA from 1 species